UGAGACACAGCACAAUGUUACAGACAGCAGUUGUCUGAGACAUGUGGCUUCUGUUGAGCUAAGAAAGAGAUUGUGUCUGACUACCUCCAUUGGUAUAUUAUUGACCGCAACUCAUCUGUAAUUGACAGAUUCAAAGUGGUCUUUCAGCCCUUCAGUUUUUCACUGCACUACAGCUACACCCUGCUUUGCUGUCCCCUGUCCUGACCCACUCGGAAAAGGGGCUAACUGCUCUUCAGCUUGAGAGACUGUUCAAACCUGACCUCAGUCCACCAGGGAGUAACAGGAGAUGUAAAAAAAGUGAAACUUUGGGCUACUGGGCGGACUAUCUCCUUGACUGUGAAGAAGGUCAGGCUGCUGUGUCUGUGGAAGAUGUUUUCAUGUUUGCAACUGGACUGACUUCACUUCCCCCACUGGAUUGGAACCAUCACCAAAAAUCGAGUUCCUGGUGACUCUCCCUUCCCAAUGGCAAAUACAUGUUCAAACACAUUGAAAUUACCACUCCUAGACACUUACACUGUGUUUAAGACACAAAUGGACUUUGGACUUCAAAAUUCCCCAGGAUUUGGAUGUUUUUAAGCCACAAGUUCCCUAGGGACUCUGAAAAGUUGUUAUUAAAGGUUGUUAAGAAUCUUUAGAAUGUAAAGAUAUGUAGCAUGUUUUUUCUCCAGUUAACAUUAUGGCCAUUUAUUUAAGACAAAAUAAACAAGUUUUAGUUUUUGUACUUACAAAAAUUUAAUAAAAUAUGCAUUACUUUGCUAGCACUUGAUUAUUUAUUCACCAAAAAACUGUGGGUGACAUUCAGGCAGUGUUCCACCACUACAAAUCAGAUUUCAGGGCAUAGAAAAAAACAUCUUAAUCACUCUGAAAUAAAUCAG